CCCUUAGAUGUUCUGGGCCGCACGCGCGCUACACUGAACAGUUCAACAAGUCUUAACCUUGGCCGAUAGGUCUGGGUAAUCUUUGAACGCUGUUCGUGAUUGGGAUAGACCUUUGCAAUUAUGGGUCUUCAACGAGGAAUUCCUAGUAAACGCAAGUCAUCAGCUUGCAUUGAUUACGUCCCUGCCCUUUGUACACACCGCCCGUCGCACCUACCGAUUGAAUGGUCCGGUGAAAUCUCGGGACGGCGGCUUGGUCGCUUGCGUCCGACUGCUGAAACUUGAUUAAACCAUAUCAUUUAGAGGAAGGUGAAGUCGUAGCA
rnacentral:rRNA from 1 species